AUGAAGCCUGUCGCCGCGAGCGACGGGGACACAGCCGCCGCUCGUGGCGAGGAGCUGCAGCCGGCGCCCCUGCCCGAGGAUGUGCUCGCCGAAGUCCUCCGCCGCGUCCCGCCGCGCUGGAUCGCCGCCUCCCGCUGCGUCUGCACGGCCUGGCGCGACGCCAUCGAUGCGCGCGGCCUCCUGCGCGCCGACCUGCUCCCGCUCUCGCUCGCUGGCCUCUUCGUCCACUUCGACGAGCACAAGUAUCCCGAAUUC
rnacentral:rRNA from 1 species